rnacentral:rRNA from 1 species
UCCGUAGGUGAACCUGCGGAAGGAUCAUUACCGAGCGAGAAUUCUCUGAAUUCAACCUCCCACCCGUGUUUAUUGUACCUUGUUGCUUCGGCGGGCCCGCCUCACGGCCGCCGGGGGGCAUCUGCCCCCGGGCCCGCGCCCGCCGAAGACACCUUGAACUCUGUAUGAAAAUUGCAGUCUGAGUCUGAAUAUAAAUUAUUUAAAACUUUCAACAACGGAUCUCUUGGUUCCGGCAUCGAUGAAGAACGCAGCGAAAUGCGAUACGUAAUGUGAAUUGCAGAAUUCAGUGAAUCAUCGAGUCUUUGAACGCACAUUGCGCCCCCUGGUAUUCCGGGGGGCAUGCCUGUCCGAGCGUCAUUGCUGCCCUCAAGCCCGGCUUGUGUGUUGGGUCUCGUCCCCCUUCCCGGGGGGACGGGCCCGAAAGGCAGCGGCGGCACCGCGUCCGGUCCUCGAGCGUAUGGGGCUUUGUCACCCGCUCUGUAGGCCCGGCCGGCGCCAGCCGACAACCCAUCAUCCUUUUCAGGUUGACCUCGGAUCAGGUAGGGAUACCCGCUGAACUUAAGCAUAUCAAUAAGCGGAGGA